GGGGAAUUUUCCGCAAUGGGCGAAAGCCUGACGGAGCAAUACCGCGUGAGGGAGGAAGGCUCUUGGGUUGUAAACCUCUUUUCUCAGGGAAUAAGUACUGAAGGUACCUGAGGAAUCAGCGUCGGCUAACUCCGUGCCAGCAGCCGCGGUAAUACGGAGGAUGCAAGCGUUAUCCGGAAUGAUUGGGCGUAAAGCGUCCGCAGGUGGUUUUUCAAGUCUGCUGUCAAAGAAUCUGGCUCAACCAGAUAAAGGCAGUGGAAACUGACAGACUAGAGUAUGGUAGGGGUAGAGGGAAUUCCUGGUGUAGCGGUGAAAUGCGUAGAGAUCAGGAAGAACACCGGUGGCGAAAGCGCUCUGCUGGACCAUAACUGACACUGAGGGACGAAAGCUAGGGGAGCGAAUGGGAUUAGAUACCCCAGUAGUC
rnacentral:rRNA from 1 species